GAUGAGGUGACCGAGAGGUUAAGGUGAUGGAUUACUCAUCCAUUGCGUUCUACGCGCGUGGGUUCGAUUCCCACUCUCGUCG